CCUACGGGUGGCAGCAGUGGGGAAUAUUGCACAAUGGGGGAAACCCUGAUGCAGCGACGCCGCGUGAGUGAAGAAGGAUUUCGGUACGUAAAGCUCUAUCAGCAGGGAAGAAAAUGACGGUACCUGACUCAGAAGCCCCGGCUAACUCCGUGCCAGCAGCCGCGGUAAUACGUAGGGGGCAAGCGUUAUCCGGAUAUACUGGGAGUAAAGGGAGCGUAGGCGGGAGCGCAAGUCUGGAGCGAAAGUCCGGGGCCCAACCCGGGAACUGCGCUGGAAACUGUGACGCUGGAGUGCAGGAGAGGUGAGCGGAAUUCCUGGUGUAGCGGUGAAAUGCGUAGAUAUCAGGAGGAACACCGGCGGCGAAGGCGGCUUACUGGACUGUAACUGACGCUGAGGCUCGAAGGCGUGGGGAGCAAACAGGAUUAGAUACCCGAGUAGUC
rnacentral:rRNA from 1 species